rnacentral:rRNA from 1 species
UACGUAGGCAGCAAGCGUUGUUCGGAAUUACUGGGCGUAAAGAGUGUGUAGGCGGUUUUCUAAGUUCGGUGUGAAAUCUCCCGGCUUAACUGGGAGGGUGCGCCGGAAACUGGAGGACUGGAGUGCCGGAGAGGAUAGCGGAAUUCCCGGUGUAGCGGUGAAAUGCGCAGAUAUCGGGAAGAACACCCGUGGCGAAGGCGGCUCUCUGGGACGGUACUGACGCUGAGACGCGAAAGCGUGGGGAGCGAACAGG